AGGCUUGCAGUCAAGGAAAAAAGCGUGGUGGCCGGAGCGUGUAUCUGCUAUUGUUUUUCAUUAUCCCGGAUUUGGUGAGCAUUUUUGCAUGUAAAUCACCCUCUUUUUGUAAAUCUUUUUUAUUAGUACGGUUGCUGUCACUGCUCAUUGUUCUUUUAUCUCGUUGCUGUUUUCAGUAAAUUGUUCUUAUCUCAACCAGUAAUCUCUGCUUUUUGUAUCUCCCAGCAGAGGAGGAGGGGAGCGGCUUGUGUUUUCUCUUUAAUGGGAGUACUAAAUAGGCAAUACCAUUCCUAAACCAUGCAGCAGAAUGCAAUGUAUAAGCUAAGAGCCAAAGAAAGAGAAGCUUUGGACCAAACAACUUUUGAAUGAACAGAGGCAGCACUUCCUCUUCCAACUGUCUUCUGUCAUAACCAUGGAGAACCAUCUGAUUGAAAAAUAGGCACAGUUCAGCAAAGAUGGUCAAAUCAUAUGGGGUUGUGGGUUGUCCCUCAUUACAGGGACACCCUGUAAUAUGAGAGCUAUGUUUUGUUAGCCUCUCUAACAGUUAUUGCGCUAUGAGGACCUGGAAGUGGGAAAAGUAACUCACUUCUUACGUUUAUUUAUUGUCACUUUCUUUGAAAUAGCAUAAGUAGUGGUGUGGUGCAUGCCACGUUUAACAACUGACUACUCUGAUGGUACGCUUCUUGGAAUAAGAAAUAAAAAUAGAGCAUAAGUAGAAUAAGACUAAAACAUUAUAUAGAUCUGUAUCUAAAAAGCAUGGCAUUCAUUACAUUAAUGGUUUAUUUUAAAAAAUAAAAAAGGAAAAGCUUUUAGUCUGUGUUGUUCCCUGAAAACAGAGCUCUGCAUCACCAUAAUGCUGUUUGGCAAGAAAGGAAAGCAGCGGGUACAGCAUCAAUUUGAACAGAUACAUCCAGAUGGAGCUUUAGAAGUCAUUCCUCUUGUUAACAAAAAUGGAUUUGAGGGCUGAAUAUUCUGAAUAUUCUACUAACAUCCCCCCUGAAUAAACUAAAAACAAGAACACAUGAAGAUCUGUGAAAGAAGCUAGUUUAUAUACCAAGAAUAGAAAAAGGCUAAAAUUAAUGCUAACAAUUAAUAUUGUUAGGAUCUAAAACAAGACACCUGAGACACUUCUACCUUCACACUGCCCCUGCAUCAAUGGACUCCCUUUAAGUUCAGGCCUGGGCCUUCUGUCCCUGUGUGAUCUAUGCCAUAGGUACUUUCCUCAAGUUUCAUCACAGCUAUGCUUCAUGGUGAGUUUUGUUGAUCCAGAACUUUGCCUGCUUGCCUCACUUGGGCACUGUGGAACCAGUGUCUGGCUAGAGAAGCUCCUGCCCUGCUAGCCUUUGUCAUUGUGCAUUUACUUUCCCCAAAGGGAGCAGUCAGGCCUGUUUCUUGAUGCUUGUCUGAAUGAGGCCCUGAGUAACUUGAUCUACCCUUGAAAAUUUGCUGUUAGGGUAAGAAGCUGCACUAAAUGACCUCCAGAGAUCACACACUACUUUCUGAUUUUGUACAAAUGCAACCACUAGCCCACAUCAACUAGGCACAACAUAAUCUGCUUUUUAACAAAACAAAAAAACAGAAGGAAACUAGAAAGCUUGGUAUAGUAUCUGUUACCUUCAGCAUCUGCUUCUGCUCUCUCCUUUCUACUUUUGCCUCUCCGUGCCAGUAUUGUGUGGUAUGGGGACAUCAUGAAACCUACCUCCUAUAGUUUGCCAUGCCAUCUAGGAAACACUAAAAGUAUAUUAAUUAAAACAGGAAAAAAAACACAAAACCCUGCACUGCAAACCUCUCUGUGGGAUGAAAGUAGGAAAACCAAUGUUUGCUUACACUAGCAUAACUUUCACAUACAGCUGUUCCUCUUUGUCGUUGCUGAACCACUACACUUGGGGAGAGAAAACAUCAUGAAAGUAUUUAAAACAACUAUAUCUCAUGAAGUUGUCCUCUGCCAAAAUUAAUAGUUUCUCCUCUCUCUCAAUGGCAUCUGGUAGACGCAGUUGAUACUGACUUGCAACAUAGGGAUUGCAGGUUAAUCAUUGCCAAAAUUUGAAUGACUUGUGAAACUAGUUUCAUAAUGCCAAAUAAGUGAGGAGAAUGUAGAACCAUAUUAAAAAAAAAAGGUAAAGAGUUCCUUAAUGUCAAAUGAGUGGUGGGUAAAAACAUUAGGAUAAUGCAAUAGCAUAUUACCUUUGUUUUGAUACUACUUUGCUUUAACUGUGUUUUAUUAUUCUGCUGACAGAAUUUUUACUUGUCAAAUAAAAAAAUCACUGCCUAAUCCAAUUGCAUUGCUUUUCUUCUGAAGGGAAACUAUGCUCAACUCAAUGCUAGGAGUCACUUCUGUCCCAUGAGAACCCCUCACUGAGCAGCAACACUACCUGGUUCCCUGAUAUGCACUCCUUGGAAGAGUGAGUUCUCUGUUGGACAGCACUACAUUUUCAGUAGAAAGGGUGGGGAGUAGCUUUUUGCAUACUCAUUAAGAAUAUUAUUUUGGGACAUGGGCAAUGGCACGUUGAAUCCCCUCAGGCAAUAAAUGUUUGGAAUCUACUUGUAGUACUCCAAGUAACAGGUUAUUAUGAAAAAACUAGGCGCUUCACCUUCUCUUUUUAAUUAACUAACUUUUGACUGUUAUAUGCCAUAUUUUUUAAUGUCUGCUGAAUGAGGCUCCUUAGAGGACAUAGGCAAAAUUGGGUGCUUCUCUACUUUGUCUGAAGGGCAGUGAAUCUACACAAGCAUGCUAAUUCUUCAUGUCUGAAGGUGCUCUAAUUCCAACACUAAGGAAUUUUUCAAAUUGAAAAUUAGAUAAUGAUUGAUCAAGCAAGGUAGUGUUAGCUUUAGUGUCAGCAGUAGUGUUAGAAGGGAAGUAUGUCAUCUCUAUUGCCAUCUUGGACACAGACACCUGAAUCCCUCCCAUGUGUUGUAUUAAAUGCCAAGGAACAUGGCCUUCAUGUGGUUCAUUAUUGUUUAUAAUUGAGUCUUUAAAAGAUUGGAGUAUUUUUCGUUAUCAGCUUCAUAAUCAUAAUCCCUCCAUAAAUUAUGCCGGUAUCAAGGAUUCAUCUUAGUUGAACAUUACCUUGUAACUUGUCCAUCACUAUCAGCUGAGAAUAUUUCACCUAUAUAGAGACUUCUUAGGUAUAGUUAGAAGCGACACAGUAAACCUAUCAAUUUUACAUUAAAAAUACAUAAAUUGCUUCCAAAAUGUUGAAAUUAAAGCUCUCAGAUGUUGGUUAUAGUUUAUCUUCCUUUUAAUUUCCCUAUGCUUCUCUGCCAACAUCUUUUUUCUCAUUAUUGGAGUGUUGUAAAACAAAGAUGAAAUCAGAAGUCCUAUGAACUGCAGUAGCAAACUGCCCAAUUAUUUCUCAAUAAAGAGAGCAAAUAUCUUUUAUGUAUCAAGGAAGCUAGCCAACUUAAUGAGCUUGCAAACCAAUAGAAAACUGUUAAUCUAAAUAAGGACUUUCUGUAACCUAUAAUAAAUGGCUACAAUAAGUUACAGCUUCAAAUUUGAAUAUUGACUAAAAUUAUAAUACACUUUGUCAUGCUGAAAUAUUAAUUAGCAUAACUAUUCCCUUUGUAGAAUUGUGUUCAACUAAAUAAGUGAAAAACUAUUAUCUGUUUAUUAGAAAAAAUAAUUUCCACAGUAGUUGAGAAUAUGUAGUCUCUGUGGAUCUUUUUUUUUUUAUCAUGCCUCAGUGUCCCCAUACUGUUGUAUACUAUCAUAUACAGUGGAGUACUAUAGCGUGGGGGAUCUUUAUAUGAUAAAGAAUGAUGCACGCUCCUCUCAGAUGGAGAACAAAGAGGCUUUAUUUGAAUUCGGCGCUUCCUUAUAUCCCCUAAAGCCAUGUGACCUUCUUAACCAAUCGGGUUGUCUGUCCCUGUGCAUGUCCCUUGAUUUCUCUGCCCCUGGGAUACACCCCCUACAGAGUACAGUUGGACAGUACCUAUCAGAAUAGCCCUAUGAAGUAAAACAUGCUUAAAUAGCACCUUUCCAACUAAGAACCAUGAGGAAUUUUUUGAAGUUUGAAGCAGGGAGGAAACUGUUGCUGAAAUGGCGUCUUUUGGUGACCCAGAGCACAGAAACAAGAGCCAGGUUUUAGAAGAGAUUUUUUUUUUUGUUUUUAAUUUAACUGUAAUUCAGUGACAAACAUAGCUAUGGUGGAUUCCAGGAAAACAGGUUAGGUUGUGCCUGCUACGUGGACUUUGAUCACACUUAUCUAGAGAUUGUGUGCUGGAAGCUAACUAAGAGAUGCUAAUUGAUUUUAGAAAAACUGUUUACAUGUCUACAACAACCUGUUCUCACAGCCUUUCUUUAGAGAUAAGCUCUCAGCAUCAGCUAGUUUUACCAUACAGGAAUAAAGCCUAUGCUGUAAUGUAAAGGCAAGUCCUGGUUUGAGUUGCACCAUCAUUUAGGACAUUACACCUUGAACUGUCUUUAAAUGGAAGUUCAGAAAACUGUAUAGAAGGGUUGGGGGCUGAGCAAGGCCUUGUAAGUCUUCAUGAAAUAUCACCUGGUUUGCAGCCAAGAAAAUUACCUCAGUCAAGGAAAUUAUGUUUAAUUUUGAACUUUCAAGUUUUCACCUUUUUUAAGUUUUGAAUUUUUGCUGCAUAAACAGAAGGGCAUUGUUUUACCUAACUAUACAGCUCACAUGAUAGUUGUUUUCUGAAGUCAAAGUCAUGGGUAUGGAGAGACUGGUCCCUAAAUGCAUACAGCCAGGAGAGUUCUAGGUUAUUAGUUCUCAGAUGGGAACUAGAAUGCUCAUGGUUUUUAUCUUCUCUAUUUUUAUUUUUUUUAUGCAGUUACGUAAAAAGCAACUUUUGUUGUGGCUGGUAAUUGUCUUCUACACAGGGGUUAGAGUGCUCUCUGCCUUGUCCAUUAUUCCUAAAAGUGUGCUACAAUGAAACUAAUAAAUGAAAUUAUUUUUGUGUGUUUACUUGGUGGUGUUAUCUUAAAAAUAAUGGGCUUGAAAGGAAAAAUGUAUAAUUUUCUGUAGCUUAUUGGUUUUAGUCUGAAAGUCUUAGCAAAUGUGGAUUACCAGAAGAGCUUCUCAGAAGUGUCACUGAUAGAAAAGAUGGAUGAUGCUGUCAUAUUUUUACAUCUAAGCUGCCAAGGUAUAUUAUCAUGACACAAUGAGGGUUGUUAUGAUCCAAUUAAUGAGAGAUGCCUCUGCCUGAAUUAAGACCAUAUGCUGGAGUCAAUAAUACCAAUUUUAUUUAACAGUAAUUGUGAGGUAGAGCAAUAGAAAGAAAUAGAAAAGGAGAGUGGAGAGAGAGAGUGAGAGAUCAAGCAGAAGAUAGUCACCACCAGUGGAUCCAGCAGUGUUCUGUCAGUCCUUCUUCACCCUGUGCUUCUUGGGGGCGGGGGGGGGGUCCCAGAAUUGUUCUUCUACCACCUUUAUACAGUGCAAGUUCUGGGUAUCCAUGCAGUGGUCGUAGAUGUUCUUCCCAUAACUUGGGAUGAUAUGUGUAUGAGUAGUAGCUUCCUUUCUAAAGUGGGAAUUUUUGUCUGGAUGCAUUAACCAGGUUGUGCUAACCAGAUCUCACCUUGCCAGGCCUGGAAUUAGUGCCUUCCUCUCACAAAUUCCUCUCUUCUGUGCUUAUCUCAAGUUCCUGCUGUGGUGGCAAGUUCCUUCUUGACAGUGAUUGAGACAGGCAGUUGUGCUUUUUAAGUCCAUACAAUGGUACCUUAUUAAAUGUUUCAACAGAAUAAAUUAAUGAAUGUUAAUAGAAGGACUAGAACUAUAGAGAAAGGGUGAAGAAAAGAAAGAAUAAAAUUAAUACUUUUUUGUUUAAAAUGCCACUAGAGUUGUAAGGAAUAUGGAACUAGAAAUAAAUAAACCAAAGCUAAUAUAAUUGAAAUCAGCUGUAAUUUAAUGAACAAAAUUAUGAUAGUCAUAUAUGCUGCCCACCAGCUUGCAUAGAAGCUUCUAGAAAUGGGAUUCAAUUAAGGCCAGUGUGCAACUUGGACAAUGCUAGCAAAAGACUUAAGCAUUAACAAGAAAAUAAUUUGCUGGCAGAAAAAGGAAGCCAAAUCAAAAGUUAGUGCAAAAAAUAAGUAUUGAAUACUUGUGUAUUUCAUCUUUCAUUUGAAAUUAAUGAGUCUACUAAUGCCUAGUAAAAUUAAAGACUUAUGACAACUAUAUCCAGAAUUAGGAAAGAACAAGCUACAAAAUACUAGUAUCAACUGACUGUUUUUGAAUCCACAGCAUCUAAUGAAAUUAUCCUUAUCCUAUUAAAUAACCAAAUAAAACAAUCUUAAAGCUCUUAGUGUAGACACCCAUAUAUUUUGCAUUUGUUAGGACUGGGACCAUACAAUCACCACCUGAACAGUCUUGCUUUGUUUCUCCCAUCCUCGAGUAUCUUUCUUUCCAGUAAAGCCAGGUGUUAUGAUCAAGCUGCCAUCUCUUAUACAACUCUACUGUUGUUAUAUUUUGAGAAAAUUGAUGAAAACUGCUGUUCUGUCACCAAGGCAAAGAAGUUUCUUUUGAAAUUCAUUCCCAACUUCCAACCGGCAGAAGGUGUUCAGCCAAGUCCAGGAAAGCAGGGCUACAUCCUGUGUAACAAUCACUUGGAAAGACAAGUACCAUCACUCUCAAUAUCCCCUGCUUCCUUCCACUUUCUCUAGCUUUAUAUGCUGAGCACGAUGCCAUAUAGUAUGGAAUAUCCCUGUGGUCGGUUGGGGUCAGCUGUCCUAGCUGUGUCCCCUCCCAACUUCUUGUGCAUCCCCAGUCUCCUCACUGGAAGCAGAAAAGACCUUGAUGCUGUGUAAGCACUGCUUCAGCAAUAAUUAAAACAUCCUUGUGUUAUCAACACUGUUUUUACCAUGUGGUCAGCUGAAAUGUAAUCUGCUUUCUGUUGCACAGUAAAGAAAAUAUUUGCUUGCUAGGAUUAUAAAAAUAGUCAUUAAAAAGUAAAGGCAUAUCAAUGGAUAGAAUGAGUAACAAGUGAAAUUUCUCAGGUGAGCACAGUAAUUUAAAGGAAUGUUAUGUGAAGUUGUGGUGGGGCUUAAAAAUAAGUUUUUGAUGUGGCAAUAAUAGCAUGUGGCAUAAGAUAAAGCAGCAUUGCUAUCAGAAUUCAAAAUGCAGGAAUUGUGCCUCCAUAUUUAAACGAGUGCAGAAAAGACUUAUCAAAAUAUUUGUUCCAGGAAAUUAAGAAAUUGGCUCAGAAUAAGAAAGUUAGACUAUUUUCUAUUAAUAAGAGCCAGAGAUUACCAGAUUACCAUAUAAAACUAGUUUUGCAUGUGGAUAUUAUAGGGUACUAAAGAGCAAUUAAUCUACAAGCAAACCACUGAUUUGAUCCCAGCACCAGAUAAAGAGCUUAUUGGCUCAGUCCUGGGGGAUAUUAAAAGCUUCUGAAGUACAUCAGGCUGCUCAAAAUCCAGUAACUUCCCCUGUAAGCUUAAGCUUCAUGCAUUUAAAAAUAUGUACAGCUAUCCCUAUUCCUGCUACUUUUCAUUUUCUUUGAAGUCUGUAACUAUUUUUGCACCUGACAAGAAACUAUCAUUUUGAUUUAUACUUUCAUCUACCUAGUGUGAAUUUUUUGGUUUUAUUUGGAAAUUGUUUCUUUAACAAUUAUUUUAAAACUUCUGGAACCAGAUUAAUUUUGUCUAAACUGGAGGGAUGCAAGGGGAUCAUAGUGAAAGAGAAUUUAGAUUUUAUUCUUUCUAAUCUGUGUGUCCAGAGAGCUUUCUCAAUCAGUUCUUCCUGGUAGAGAUAGAGUCUAUACUGGCAAAAGAUGCUUUGGCUGGCAAUCACUUAGGACAGCAUCCUAAACAGAACAAGACAUACUUGCAGAAUGUACUUUAUUUCGGCUGGUUAUACCCUUAUGUAAGAAUGUAGUGGGGGGAAUCAUGUCUGUGACAAAUUGUUCCAAAAUUUAAAAGUAUAGAUAAUGUAGUUAAAACUUUACUGUUAAAAAUCUUAAAAUUCUCUAGAUGUACAGUGAUCUUGUAAAAAGCACUUUCCACUUUUUCAAGUCACACUCUGCAACAUAAGAAUACAUUUUUCCUUUAAAAAUUAGAGGCUUAAAUAUAUAAAAUUACUGCUACUGUAGAAUUUGUUAUGUAAUAUAUAUGUAUAUAGUUUAUAAAGUGUGUAUACUGUAUAAAGUGCUUAUAUAUACACUCUCAUACAUGAAUCUAGUUAUAAUUCCUUUUGGUUUACAAUAAGAGUUGGUUGUUCAUCCUGUCAAAGCCAGGGAAACAGGCAACAGCAAGUCAUAUCAGGGAAAGGUGUCAGAAAUAGCUCAAUUAGCUCAGAAACUGCUGCACGGUCCUCCUUUAAACACAGACUUUGUGAAGAAGACAUGUCCUCACAAUUGGACAAGACACAAAUAGAACACCGGUGAAAUAAAUUGUCUACAAGAAAUAUUACAUAGAAUUAGACAGGGAGGAACAAAUUAUCAUAAGAAUGUGUUUGGGCUUGAAUGGACAGAAAUGGGUAACUUCCUGUCUAGCUGAGAGACUAGGAAACCUGGAAAAAUCAGGGAGUAGAUGCAGCCUUGAUCUGAGUGAGGGCAGGGAAAAGAGUGAGAAGAGUUGCAGAGUUACAUCUAUGCCCUUCCUCUGGUAUUCCUGAAAUAUGUAGAUUACAUCACUUUUUUUGGAAGGCUAAAAGAUCUUUUUCAGCUUUCCUCAAUGUCCUUUUACUCUGAGCCACAGCUGACCUCUGGAACUUAUUUUUUUUAUAUGACUUUUUGAUGAAAAUCAAAUAGUAGAGUUGCUCCCAUAGAGUAUGGCUGGAACCAGAGGGGCUCACUGCCUACAUCUACUGGUGUUACCUGCUGCUUCUUUUUUCUGCUAGUACAUUAACUAUUUGUAUCUGUUUCUAGAUCUGUCUACUGCAUGCCAUUGUUCCAUAACAACUCAACACAGACAUACCACUCUCUCUUUGUAUGCAGUCUAUCAGGCCAGCCCUUGUACCAUUUUUCCAGUUUCUAUUUAACUUUCCUACAGCCAAACCCUGUUACUUUACCUGGAGAUACCAGGCUAAUUUAAUUAGAACAUGCCAGCUUCAUUAAUUCUUGGCCAUAACUGAAAAAUUGUAUCUCUCUCCAUGUUGGCUUGUUUCAUUUUGCCUCUUCUGGGUGGAUUUUAUCCACCUAUCUGGCUUAUGACUGACAUCAUUUGAUGGCACUGUGGACACGCACUCCGACUCCUGGGGUGGCAGGCACCUGAAUCAACUUUAUUGGGAACAACACCACCUUAUAUAUGAGGUUCAAAAAGUAACAAACGAUGUUUAACCAAUCACAUACAAGUAUUCCACGGAGCGUGUGCAACAGAGUACCAGGAACUACAUUUCUCAGGAUGCCUUUUGGCACCGUUCCUGUGACCUAACUGCCACAUCUUCCCUCUCUCUAUUAUAAUUUUAACAAGUGAUAGAAUAAUUUUAUUAUAACAAGUGACAUAACAAUUCUUAACUUUUUUUCCUAAAGUUAUCUUAACCGUUUUUAUAAUCAGGGCCUAACGUGGUAAGGCCUUUAUUAAAACUGAUCAUAUAACUUUACUAACAGCACAAUUUCUAUAACUCCAUAAACAGUGCAACCUUUAGAACUUGUAAUAAGCAAAUUUAGUUAGAACCUUCCUUCUGGGGUUUUAUGUGUAUCUGGGUAGAGGCAUCAGUUUUAUUUCUCUGAGGAUUUUUAUAGAACUUUAUUUCAAGGGCUUAUUUUCAGUUACCUCCAUGAUAUGUCUAUAGAACUUUAUUUCAAGGGAAAGGUUUUCUCUGAGUUGUAUGUCUUGUUAUCAGUUAUCUCCCAUAUGUCUAUGUGACUGAGGUAGCAUUUAUGUUUUUAAGGCACCUUUGCCAUAAAGUGCAUUUGAGUUUCACACACAUUACAUAUCUCCACACAGCUUUUCUCAUUCACACCAAGGUGGCCACCUUUUCAUUCUCUCCUCACACACGCAUACUUAAAUCUUUUAUUAUGUCCCUGCUUUUUAACCAUUCUUUUUAUGUUUUCUAGUAAUCAUUAGCUGUGUGUAUCCUCUAGCUCACCUCCAUUAAUUGUUGUCUCUGGUGCUCGUUCUUGUUUUGAGGAAAAGUUAAUGUAGGUUCAACACAUAAAAGAGACCCAUAUUUUCUCCCCCCCUUUUUGUUGUUUUUAUAAUAUUUUUCUUAAUGUGUGGUGUGCUCUCUCUAUUAUUGCUUGUCCUGUGGGUGAGUGUGGUGAUAUGUAUAUAUUUCAUAUGGCUAAAUUUAGUUAUAUGAGUGAUCUGUGAAUGGCAGUAAAGCAUAGCUAUUGAAGGUAAAUUUUCAAUUUCUGAUCAUAGUCUGUGCCUAAAAUAGAUAGGUUAUCAUUACAAUCUGCUCACACACCUUGAAAUACAGUAUUCUCGGUGAGAAAUCAGUCCACACUGUCUCUGAUUUCUGGAAUGCAGUCUUCAGGCUUUCGUUCAUUUCUUUCUUGCAGCUAUUCUUUACCUUUAAAAACAAUCUUAGCAAACAUGUUAAUAACAGUUCAGUCAGUCUUUGAUGGAAAAUGGACAGGAACAAGUGAGAGGGUCAGGUGAAUCUGCAGUUUUUUAGUAGUUAUGUCCAGGAUUGGUUGAAGUUGGUUAAUAAUUUGAAGCAAUAGAAGUAAGUCAUUUCAUGUCGUAGUGUCUUUUACCUCAAAGUUGAAGGUUUAGGGAUGAUCCUUUUCUGUGUAGUCCUCUCUAUCGGAGAUUUGUUCCAUGGUUGGGUCUGUUGAAUUUUUUCUGGAGCAUUUUGCAGUCCUAUUUCUUGAAUGAUAUUGGCUAGAGCAAUCAUAAUCAUAAUCAUAAUCAUAAUCAUAAUGCAAUUUUUUUCAUUUUUGCUGACAUUAUGCACAUUUUUCUGGGAUAAAAAAAAUAUUUUGAGAAUGUUUGAAUGUGUUAAUUAACAAAGAGUUGGUAUGUUUGAAAACUCUAAACACGUUACUUGAACAAAACUGUUAUAACAAUGAACCUAUGCAAAUGCAUUUAAUAAUUUAACAGCUUUAACAACUUUUAACUUCAACAGCUCAAACACAGCCACAGGGGAACUGAUGAAAAAAUAGGAAAAAACCCCUAAAACUUCAGUCUUCUUACCAAAGGUCCUCGAGACAAGAUAUGAUGUUAAAUUAGUUCUGUAUGUCUCUCGGGAGGCAUACAGCAUGAGGCUGUAGCUGUAGGGUUGAACUGUGCAGGGGUGAAAGUAGUACAGUCAUUCUAGUGCUGGAGCAGUACACUGCCAUUCUCUUCCUUCCUAAACACUGAACUGUGUACAUCUUUUCUGUUCUUCCUGAUUGAAUGCUAUGUGACACUGUUGCAAGACCACUGUCUACAGAUUUUACACUGUUCAAUUAGUGUAAUAGCAGCAGUAAUAAUAGCAAUCCAGGAGAGUGCUCCUCCUAACCUCGAAAGCAUAGAGGAACACUAGCAAAUUAGAACAUGAAGGAGGACUAUGCCCCAGUCUUAGAAGGCCACAAAGAAAUCCCCAAGAAAGCUCUGCCCCAUUCAAAGAGGCUAAUCCUGCGAGUGUGAUUGAAAGACCCCAUGUACCCUGACCCAUGCUGCCAGGAUGACAAUGGCAGUUCCUGGAGCAGCAUUUGGGCUUUGCAUGGCGCUGCAAGAUACAGGCAAUGUUGCACACUAAAAUGGAAAAACAGAAGAAAAAUGCCUACUUUGGGAGAAUGUAUAGGUGGGGACCAUAAGUGUCAGCAAUUUGUUGCUGGCUAAGAACUCUGCAAGUUUCUUAGCAGACUAGAAGAUGGGGCGGGGCAGGGGGGGAGGAGCAGUGGCAGGGCAGGCCGUAUCCUAUGGUGGCUCUGCUGCUAAUUCCAUGGCAAAAGUAUAAUUUGGAACAUAUAUCUCACUUUCCUGUAUACACUUUAUAUCAUCAAAAACAGCACUUCCCUGCCUCUAUUUUCUUUUAACAUGGGCAUGAAGCACAUGUCUUGUGUGCUGGUUUGACUAGGGUAGGCUUAACUUUCUUCACAGUGGCUAGUAUGGGACUCUGUCUUGGAUUUAUGCUGAAUACAGUGAUGAUAAUAGAGAUAUUUUUGUUGUUGCUGAGCAGUGCUUACACAGAGCCAAGGCCUCUUCUGCUUUUCUUACUGCCAUGCCGGCAAGGAAAUUGGGAGUGCAUGGGAAGUUGGGAGGAGACACAGCUUGCUUCUGUACUGCUUCUCACCUCACUGUAUUAUGGUAAGAACAGUUUGAUAACAGCCAUUGUGAUGCCCCUGGGUUGGCAGAUGGCCAGGGUGUUGCUGCUGUUCCUGUCCUGCAGUACCAGAUAGGUUGGAACUCCAGUGUGGACUUGAAUAGACUGUGACAUGAAUGAGUCCAUGAUGGAGCAGAGACUGGCAGCCCAUGGAGGACCCAAGUGGAUGCCUGAAGAAGGCUAUGACCCAUGAGAUGCCGGUGAUGGAGCAAGCUGGCAGGGCUUAUGACCUCACAGGGGACCCAUGCUGGAGCAGUUUGUGAAGAACUGCAGCCCAUGGGAAGGACCCACAUUGGAGAAGUUCAAGGAGGACUGUCUGCUGGAGCAGGGGAAGCAAAGAUUCCCUUGCAGCCCAUCGUGAAGACCAUGGUGAAGCAGCCCAUGGAGAACUAUGAUGUGGAUUAUAAUAAUGGUGGACUCUAGCAGGAACCCCUUGUUGUCAGCCAGGCUGGGGACAAGGGGAGGAGUUCAUUGCAAUGUUAAACCCUAUAACCUGGCCCAAAAGGACCAGAGGUGGAGAUUGCAAUGCAUAUAUACCUUUUAAUUGUUGUAAGCUAUGAUUUGAGUUGUGUGGUACAGGCAUUAGUACAGCAGAAACCACCUGAACCAAUGGAGGAGAAGCCUUACAAAAAGCAGUUGCAGUGCAGCAGUGACCCAAUCUAAGCUGGCAGCUGGCUUUAGUGCCCAGUAACUCCAAGCAACGCACCACCUCUCCUGUCCUGAGUGACCACCAAAACAGAUAGAGCCCAAAGUAAUGGAGUAUAUUAAUUCAACAGAUAUUUUGCAGACAUUUUGCAGGGGUGGUCCAUAGACUCAGGGAACAAUCUCAAAGAAUAGGAAGGCAGGGAGUAGUUAAAGAGGUUGUAUUAAAUAGUGUGGGACCUGAGAAUGAUGUAAAUGACAUAGAAUAAGGGACAGAAGUUCCACUUUUCUUCAUACACUUUAUAUCAUCAAAAACAUAGCACUUCCCUGCCUCUAGUUUCUUUUCACAUGGGCAUGAAGCACAGGUUUUGUUUAGAUAUAUCUGUAGGAGAGGUAUUGAUGCAGUCUAAAAUCCUCUCUGCUUUCAUAUUGCUUAAAUUAGUAGUGGAAAAAUAUGAAGGCUUGUGCAUGCUGACAACUUCAAGAUGGAGCUGAGCAUAAUCACCAGGUUCAAACAGUUGGCAUGAGUGGUUAAAACAUUUCAUAAAAUUCUAAUAAUGAUACCUAACCUAAAUUAACAAAUCUGUAUUCUUAUUGUAUUUUUAUACCUUCUACCUUGCCUGCUAUUCUCCCUACCCAGUAACAACCAUUAAACUCCCCCAAUUUUUUGGUACCCUUGGUUUUUCAGCCAUAACUGUGGUCUCUAAGAUCAUGUGUCUUUGGGCUGCAUCCCAAAGCUGUUGUCUUGCUCUUUCAACAGUAAUUCUGCUGUGAUAAUUAGUAAUUAUGGUCAAACAGUACAGUCCUUAUUUCAUUCUUAGUCUUCUGCAUUUUGUUUGAAACAAUAAAGAACACAAGAUUCCAACACAA